rnacentral:rRNA from 1 species
CCUACGGGAGGCAGCAGUGGGGAAUAUUGCACAAUGGGGGAGACCCUGAUGCAGCGACGCCGCGUGAGUGAAGAAGUACUUCGGUAUGUAAAGCUCUAUCAGCAGGGAAGAAAUAGCGACCUUUGGGGCGCCAGACGGUACCUGAUUAAGAAGCCCCGGCGAACUACGUGCCAGCAGCCGCGGUAAUACGUAGGGGGCAAGCGUUAUCCGGAUUUACUGGGUGUAAAGGGAGCGUAGACGGCAGCGCAAGUCUGAAGUGAAAUGCCGGGGCUUAACCCCGGAACUGCUUUGGAAACUGGGCAGCUAGAGUGCAGGAGAGGUAAGUGGAAUGCCUAGUGUAGCGGUGAAAUGCGUAGAUAUUAGGAGGAACACCAGUGGCGAAGGCGGCUUACUGGACUGUAACUGACGUUGAUGCUCGAAAGCGUGGGGAGCAAACAGGAUUAGAUACCCUAGUAGUC